rnacentral:rRNA from 1 species
AUUGAACGCUGGCGGCAUGCUUUACACAUGCAAGUCGAACGGUAACAGGCCGCAAGGUGCUGACGAGUGGCGAACGGGUGAGUAAUGCAUCGGAACGUGCCCAGUCGUGGGGGAUAACGCAGCGAAAGCUGCGCUAAUACCGCAUACGAUCUCUGGAUGAAAGCGGGGGACCGAAAGGCCUCGCGCGAUUGGAGCGGCCGAUGUCAGAUGAGGUAGUUGGUGGGGUAAAGGCCCACCAAGCCAACGAUCUGUAGCUGGUCUGAGAGGACGACCAGCCACACUGGGACUGAGACACGGCCCAGACUCCCACGGGAGGCAGCAGUGGGGAAUUUUGGACAAUGGGCGCAAGCCUGAUCCAGCAAUGCCGCGUGCAGGAAGAAGGCCUUCGGGUUGUAAACUGCUUUUGUACGGAACGAAACGGUCCGGGUUAAUACCCUGGGCUAAUGACGGUACCGUAAGAAUAAGCACCGGCUAACUACGUGCCAGCAGCCGCCGUAAUAC